AGUGAACGCUGGCGGUAGGCCUAACACAUGCAAGUCGAACGGCAGCACAGUAAGAGCUUGCUCUUACGGGUGGCGAGUGGCGGACGGGUGAGGAAUACAUCGGAAUCUACUUUUUCGUGGGGGAUAACGUAGGGAAACUUACGCUAAUACCGCAUACGACCUACGGGUGAAAGCAGGGGAUCUUCGGACCUUGCGCGAUUGAAUGAGCCGAUGUCGGAUUAGCUAGUUGGCGGGGUAAAGGCCCACCAAGGCGACGAUCCGUAGCUGGUCUGAGAGGAUGAUCAGCCACACUGGAACUGGGACACGGGCCAGACGCCUACGGGAGGCAGCAGUGGGGAAUAUUGGACAAUGGGCGCAAGCCUGAUCCAGCCAUACCGCGUGGGUGAAGAAGGCCUUCGGGUUGUAAAGCCCUUUUGUUGGGAAAGAAAAGCAGCAGGUUAAUACCCCGCUGUUCUGACGGUACCCAAAGAAUAAGCACCGGCUAACUUCGUG
rnacentral:rRNA from 1 species